rnacentral:rRNA from 1 species
UACGUAGGUGGCGAGCGUUGUCCGGAUUUACUGGGCGUAAAGGGCGUGCAGGCGGCCCGUUAAGUGCAUGGUGAAAGCUCCCGGCUCAACUGGGAGAGGUCUGUGUAUACUGGCGGGCUUGAGGGGGGUAGAGGAAAGUGGAAUUCCCGGUGUAGUGGUGAUAUGCGUAGAUAUCGGGAGGAACACCUGUGGCGAAGGCGGCUUUCUGGGCCGUACCUGACGCUGAGACGCGAAAGCGUGGGGAGCGAACAGG